ACAUGACUUUUGCUUGAUCGUCGCCAUCGUCAGGGCCAGGGCCAGGGCUCUUGAAUAUAUUUUUCAGCGCUUCUGCAACAACUUUCUAUUAAAAAAAAAAUACAAAAUGGGAUACAAAUUUCUUAAACUAGCUUCCACUUCCAUAAGGCCAGUGAGUGUCCGAAUUGGUGUGAGGUCGUACGCAACAAGCCAUGAUGCAGAUCUCGUGGUUAUCGGCUCCGGCCCUGGCGGUUAUGUCGCGGCGAUUAAGGCUGCUCAACUUGGAAUGAAGGUAGUGUCUGUGGAGAAAGAUCCCACUCUUGGUGGUACCUGCCUAAAUGUAGGAUGUAUUCCCUCUAAGGCUCUGCUGCACAACACACACUUGUACCACCAAGCACAGCAUGACUUCAAGCGCAGAGGCAUUGAAGUUGGAUCAGUACAAAUGAACUUCAAAACUCUGAUGGAGUACAAAGAAGGAUCUGUGAAAGCCCUUACUGGAGGAAUUGCUAUGCUUUUCCAGAAGAAUAAGGUCAAGCUGGUAAAGGGUGUAGGCACCAUUGUGGCCCCCAACAAGGUAGAGGUGAAAGGUGCUAGCGGAGUAGAGACAGUCAACACUAAGAACAUUCUAAUCGCCACUGGCUCUGAAGUCACACCCUUCCCCGGAGUUACAGUUGACCAGAAAAAUAUUGUGGAUUCAACGGGCGCCCUAUCCUUGCCUCAAAUCCCUAAGAAGAUGCUCGUCAUCGGCGCCGGCGUCAUUGGCCUAGAGCUCGGCUCCGUCUACCAGAGGCUCGGCGCCGAGGUCACGGCUAUCGAGUUCCUUGGCACUAUUGGCGGUGUCGGUAUCGACCUGGAAGUGGCGAACACGCUCCAGAAAAUCCUGGCCAAGCAGGGCAUGAAGUUCAAGCUCGGCACCAAGGUCUUGGGCAUCAAGAAGGAGGGUGAAACUGUCAAGGUCGAUGUGGAGGCGGCGAAGGGCGGCAACAAGGAGACGUUGGAUUGCGACGUAGUUCUGAUCUCGAUCGGCCGCCGGCCCUACACGCGCGAGCUCGGGCUCGACAAGGUGGGCAUCGCGCUCGACGACCGCGGCCGGGUGCCCGUCAACGAGAAGUUCCAGACCAAAGUGCCCGGAAUCUACGCGAUUGGCGACUGCAUCCACGGUCCCAUGUUGGCGCACAAGGCAGAAGACGAAGGCAUCGUUUGCGUGGAAGGCAUUAAGGGUAUGCCGGUUCACUUUAACUACGACGCGAUCCCGUCGGUGAUCUACACCACGCCCGAGGUCGGCUGGGUCGGCAAGUCUGAGGAGGAUCUUAAGAAAGAGGGCAAGGCGUACAAAGUAGGCAAAUUCCCGUUCCUGGCGAACUCCCGAGCGAAGACCAACGGCGAGCCCGACGGCUUCGUCAAGGUCCUCUCCGACAAGGCCACCGACGUCAUCCUCGGCACGCACAUCAUUGGCCCCGGUGGCGGCGAGCUGAUCAACGAGGCGGUGCUGGCGCAGGAGUACGGCGCGGCCGCCGAGGACGUGGCGCGCGUCUGCCACGCGCAUCCGGUAACUACCUACAGUACUAUAUACAGGAUGUACAGUAACAUAUCCAGGGUGACGGCGAGCUGAUCAACGAGGCGGUGCUGGCGCAGGAGUACGGCGCGGCCGCCGAGGACGUGGCGCGCGUCUGCCACGCGCAUCCGGUAACUACCUACAGUACUAUAUACAGGAUGUACAGUAACAUAUCCAGGGUGACGGCGAGCUGAUCAACGAGGCGGUGCUGGCGCAGGAGUACGGCGCGGCCGCCGAGGACGUGGCGCGCGUCUGCCACGCGCAUCCGGUAACUACCUACAGUACUAUAUACAGGAUGUACAGUAACAUAUCCAGGGUGACGGCGAGCUGAUCAACGAGGCGGUGCUGGCGCAGGAGUACGGCGCGGCCGCCGAGGACGUGGCGCGCGUCUGCCACGCGCAUCCGGUAACUACCUACAGUACUAUAUACAGGAUGUACAGUAACAUAUCCAGGGUGACGGCGAGCUGAUCAACGAGGCGGUGCUGGCGCAGGAGUACGGCGCGGCCGCCGAGGACGUGGCGCGCGUCUGCCACGCGCAUCCGGUAACUACCUACAGUACUAUAUACAGGAUGUACAGUAACAUAUCCAGGGUGACGGCGAGCUGAUCAACGAGGCGGUGCUGGCGCAGGAGUACGGCGCGGCCGCCGAGGACGUGGCGCGCGUCUGCCACGCGCAUCCGACCUGCGCAGAGGCACUACGUGAAGCGAACCUUGCGGCGUACUGUGGCAAGCCCAUCAACUUCUAAAUAUAGAUCGUAUAGUAAACUCGGAGACCAGUGGCUGUGGGGUCAUCGGAGAAUGUGACCCCGAUGGUACUACCACGUGACGACUGCGGUGAUCAGAUUUUUUAUGGUGAAACAGUCAAGACAGUACAGUCAAUGUAUUGACAGUAAGAAGCUACAUGAUGAAUAUGAACCACAAAUAUCAAAAAUUAAUUUUUAACAAGCAGAAACGUCUGCGAACGAUGCUAUUAAGCUUAGAAUAAAUUUAAAAGUGGAAAAAUUACUGCCUCGGGUGAGUGGCUCACGCAUUUUUCCACUUUUGAAUUUAUUGUAAACAUUACAGAAUUGUCAAGGCGUUAAUGUUCUGAUUAGUAUUUUUAAGCAUUCUAGUCUAGUACAAUUUUGAUGGCGACAUUGCUGAAAUCAACAAGCAACUUUUUUCUACUAAGUAUUUCAAUACUAAAGCCAAUCUGCGUUUUCGCUACAAAAAUCUGAUCACCAAAUAUUAGAAAUAAGCAAGUGGUUGAUUUUAUCAUUUAAAACAACUUGCUUCUUGGGGUUUAGUCAUAAAUGAUGCGCGUCCCUGUAACGAAUCUAGUGUGAAUCUGAUAUGAAAGGUAUUAGAUAUAAUUUUCCAAACGCUGCCACUUUUCAUCCUGAACGUUAUUAUAAAACUCCAUAAGAGAUUUUGUAUAACGUUUAAUUAUUUUAUUUUUGUUGCUAAGCUGACGUGAAUUUAAAUCUUAUUAUUUUUUUUAACCUAUUUAUUUUACAAACUUUGUUUGUGAAUCCAUUCCGAUUAAGAUCAGUUAAUCAUGCAUUUACUGCAAGUAAAUGUUUGUUCAAUUGGUGUAUUUAUUUUCUUUUGUAAAUAGUUUACAGAAAUAAAAAAUGUUAAAA